ACGCAAGUCUGAUGGAGCAACGCCGCGUGAGUGAAGAAGGCUUUCGGGUCGUAAAACUCUGUUGUUGGAGAAGAAUGGUCGGCAGAGUAACUGUUGCCGGCGUGACGGUAUCCAACCAGAAAGCCACGGCUAACUACGUGCCAGCAGCCGCGGUAAUACGUAGGUGGCAAGCGUUAUCCGGAUUUAUUGGGCGUAAAGCGAGCGCAGGCGGUUUUUUAAGUCUGAUGUGAAAGCCCUCGGCUUAACCGAGGAAGUGCAUCGGAAACUGGGAAACUUGAGUGCAGAAGAGGACAGUGGAACUCCAUGUGUAGCGGUGAAAUGCGUAGAUAUAUGGAAGAACACCAGUGGCGAAGGCGGCUGUCUGGUCUGUAACUGACGCUGAGGCUCGAAAGCAUGGGUAGCGAACAGGAUUAGAUACCCUGGUAGUCCAUGCCGUAAACGAUGAAUGCUAGGUGUUGGAGGGUUUCCGCCCUUCAGUGCCGCAGCUAACGCAUUAAGCAUUCCGCCUGGGGAGUACGACCGCAAGGUUGAAACUCAAAGGAAUUGACGGGGGCCCGCACAAGCGGUGGAGCAUGUGGUUUAAUUCGAAGCAACGCGAAGAACCUUACCAGGUCUUGACAUCUUUUGAUCACCUGAGAGAUCAGGUUUCCCCUUGGG
rnacentral:rRNA from 2 species